rnacentral:rRNA from 1 species
CUGAACUUAAGCAUAUCAAUAAGCGGAGGAAAAGAAACCAACAGGGAUUGCCUCAGUAACGGCGAGUGAAGCGGCAAAAGCUCAAAUUUGAAAUCUGCUUCGGGGCCCGAGUUGUAAUUUGUAGAGGAUGCUUCGGGCGUGGCCGCGGUCUAAGUCCCCUGGAACGGGGUGUCGCAGAGGGUGAGAAUCCCGUCUUCGGCCGGCCGUUCGCCCAUGUGAAGCUCCUUCGACGAGUCGAGUUGUUUGGGAAUGCAGCUCUAAAUGGGUGGUAAAUUUCAUCUAAAGCUAAAUACUGGUCGGAGACCGAUAGCGCACAAGUAGAGUGAUCGAAAGAUGAAAAGCACUUUGAAAAGAGAGUUAAACAGCAUCGUGAAAUUGUUGAAAGGGAAGCGCUUGCGACCAGAGUCGGCCGCGGGGGUUCAGCGGGCAUUCGUUGCCCGUGCACUCCCCGUGGGCGGGCCAGCGUCGGUUUCGACGGCCGGUCAAAGGCCCCCGGAAUGUGUCACCUUCGGGGUGUCUUAUAGCCGGGGGUGCAAUGCGGCCAGUCGGGACCGAGGAACGCGCUUCGGCACGGACGCUGGCUU